rnacentral:rRNA from 1 species
AUUGAACGCUGGCGGCAGGCUUAACACAUGCAAGUCGAGCGGAGAUGAGGUGCUUGCACCUUAUCUUAGCGGCGGACGGGUGAGUAAUGCUUAGGAAUCUGCCUAUUAGUGGGGGACAACAUUCCGAAAGGAAUGCUAAUACCGCAUACGUCCUACGGGAGAAAGCAGGGGAACUUCGGACCUUGCGCUAAUAGAUGUGCCGAAGUCGGAUUAGCUAGUUGGUGGGGUAAAGGCCUACCAAGGCGACGAUCUGUAGCGGGUCGGAGAGGAUGAUCCGCCACACUGGGACUGAGACACGGCCCAGACUCCUACGGGAGGCAGCAGUGGGGAAUAUUGGACAAUGGGGGGAACCCUGAUCCAGCCAUGCCGCGUGUGUGAAGAAGGCCUUAUGGUUGUAAAGCACUUUAAGCGAGGAGGAGGCUACUGAGACUAAUACUCUUGGAUAGUGGACGUUACUCGCAGAAUAAGCACCGGCUAACUCUGUGCCAGCAGCCGCCGUAAAAC